UAAUACGGAGGGUGCAAGCGUUGUCCGGAUUUAUUGGGUUUAAAGGGUGCGUAGGCGGCUUUUUAAGUCAGUGGUGAAAUCCUCCAGCUUAACUGGAGUCGUGCCAUUGAUACUGGAAAGCUUGAGUACAGGCGAGGUUGGCGGAAUUGAAGGUGUAGCGGUGAAAUGCAUAGAUAUCUUCAAGAACACCGAUUGCGAAGGCAGCUAACUAGACUGUAACUGACGCUGAGGCACGAAAGUGUGGGGAUCGAACAGGAUUAGAUACCCUGGUAGUCCACACUGUAAACGAUGAUCACUCGAUGUUGGCGAUAGACAGCCAGCGUCCAAGCAAAAGCGUUAAGUGAUCCACCUGGGGAGUACGCCCGCAAGGGUG
rnacentral:rRNA from 1 species